rnacentral:lncRNA from 1 species
GGGUGCGAAGAGAAUAAAUGGGAUUUUUGCCCCUGUUAUAUUUAGAAUUAUGCGUAAAGUGAUAUUACUCAUGAACCAUACAUAAUACAGACCUAGGGUGUUUUAAUUUGGGAUCCUUGGUUUAUGACCUUGAAAUUGAGGUCAAAGUCAUAGGUUAAUUGGACGUUCUAGAUUUUGACCUUUGCUUGAAAUUCAUAUUUAUAUAUCAUUUAGCCAUAGGAACUGACAUUUUCAACUGAAUUUUAAUAUUUUCAUAUCAAAAUAGAUCCUUAUUGGUGGAAAGACCUUCAAUUGUUCUUUGAACAAUUGGUUUUUAAUUUCACUUGUUUUCGUGUUUUGACGUUUUUUCUCUCAAUGUCUCGUGUUUGGUUUGAUGUGGGUCUCUUGUGUUUCCCCUUAUUUAUUGUCCAUGUUUCCUGUCGUAC